CUAAGAGGGGAGUGCCGCCAUCAAAUUGGGGUGUUAGGGGAGUUUAAGAGGGGAAUUGACGUGGCACUAGCUGAUUGGUGGUGCGUAAGAGAGGGGACUCCCAUCUUAGGGGAGUGCCCCUCUCACCCUAACUUCUAAUCAUCUAAGCUUGUUUAUCAAAGUGGUGUAAAGGAAGAAGGUUCGAGUCAUUCGAAGCAACAAGGAAAUCAGGACCGAGGUAAAGCACAACUUUAGAGGCUUGCGACGCUUGGAACGAACACACUAGAAUUCCCCGCCCACGACAUGCUUCCGAUCUUAUUCAAACGGGUCGACUUUUGUUGUUAUGGAAACCUUAAAUUGUGGUUGUUUGUUUAGUUUACCAAAACAUAUGUUUUAUCACCUUUUGUAAAUGUCAAACGUUAGUUUGAAAUGGUUAACUCUACAAGUAUGUCCAA